CUGGCCAAUAGCCCGGGAGACCUCUGGCUUCAUUCGACUACUUGGGAGAGUUCCCCAGGAGAGAGGGGAGUCAGACAGAGACUGAAGACCCACAAGACGACGAGCCUCAGAUCAGGACAAGGAUGUCUUUUGAAAGGCAUCUCACCAUACCGGGCACCUGAGAAUUUGAGACACGGGAUCUUGCUGAAUUGCUUAGGACCUCUCUAAGUUGCUGAGGAUGACCUUG